GUUCAACACAAGUGACAUUGUCGCAGCAAACUUAACGCAGUAAAGGAACCGACUGAAUUUGUACAUUGAACAUACAUUGUUAAAUUUAACUACUAUACAAAUAUUUAUAUAUUUCGACAAAACUAGUUAUGAUCAUGCUUACGAUUGCGUUACUAGUAAACUUUACAUUACUAGUAACGCAAUCGUAAGCAUGAUCAUAAUUACUUUCAUUUUGUCGAAAUAUAUAAAUAUUUAUAUAGUAGUUAAACUUAACAAUGUAUGUUCAAUGUUCAGUCUCGGUCUUACGCUUGUCUCUAAUGGCGUAUUCCCAUGGUGGCUCAUGCCGAAGAACCAACCCUGGUACAACUUCUGGCGUCCGGAACGGCAUAUCUGGACAAAUAUCGAGGUACAUGAUAUCAUGUAGAGAAGCCUACAACUACCACCACCUCUGGCAGUACAACAAUCAAGAACUAAUGGCCUAUGACCGUUUCACCGGGAACAAAUGACUGGGAUUAAAUGAAUGCCUUAUGGCAUUAAGUCCGCCUUUUGUAAGGUUUUUCUUUUGUGCAAUAAGGAUUAAUUGAUUAAAGGUUGAUUUUUAUCUUUCUGUAUUAUUUGUAUUGUAAAGAGUAUUUAUAUUGUAUUGUAUUGUAAUCAUAUUUUAUUGUAUUGUAUUGUAUUGCAUUGUAUUGUAUUGUAUUGUAUUGUAUUGUAUUGUAUUGUAUUGUAUUGUAUUGUAUUGUAUUGUAUUGCAUUGCAUUGCAUUGCAUUGUAUUCUAUUAAAUAUAUAAGUAAAUAAAAUAACUGACGAGUAUCGCUAUACAACAGGGGACACCAGUUCAAGUUCUGUAACGGCAUUACUGGGCAAAUACCUAGGUACAUGAUACCUCGCUACCUCGGUACCUCGGUAUUUGUCCCGAAAAGCCCACGACUACCACCACCCCUGGCAGAACCCCAAUCAAGAACUAAUGCGCCCUAUGACCGUUUCACCGGUAACAAAUGACUAGGAUUGGAUGAAUGCCUUAUGGGCAAAUGCCGAGGUACAUGAUACCUUGUAAGGUUUUUCUUUUGUGCAAUAAAGAUUAAUUGAUUAAUGGUUGAUUUAUAUCUUUCUAUUUUUUGUAGGUACCCAUUGUUUUAUGUAAUGAGGUGUGCAAUACAGAGUAUUUGUAUUGUAUUGUAUUGUAUUGCAUUGGAUUGCAGUGCAUUGCUUUGCAUUGCAUUGUCAAAUAAAUGAUUUAUCUAUCUAUCUAUCUAUCAUUGCAUUGCAGUAAAUUGCAUUGCAUUGCAUUGCAUUACCUCGGUAUUUGUCCAGAGAUGCCCACGACUACCACCACCCAUGACAGUACCACAAUCAAGAACUAAUGCGCCCUAUGACCGUUUCACCGGUAACAAAUGACUAGGAUUGAAUGAAUGCCUUAUGGGCAAAUGCCGAGGUACAUGAUACCUUGUAAGGUUUUUCUUUUGUGCAAUAAAGAUUAAUUGAUUAAUGGUUGAUUUAUAUCUUUCUAUUUUUUGUAGGUACCCAUUGUUUUAUGUAAUGAGGUGUGCAAUACAGAGUAUUUGUAUUGUAUUGUAUUGUAUUGCAUUGGAUUGCAGUGCAAUGCUUUGCAUUGCAUUGUCAAAUAAAUGAUUUAUCUAUCUAUCUAUCUAUCUA